GACGAACGCUGGCGGCGUGCUUAACACAUGCAAGUCGAACGGAAAGGCCCUGCUUUUGUGGGGUGCUCGAGUGGCGAACGGGUGAGUAACACGUGAGUAACCUGCCCUUGACUUUGGGAUAACUUCAGGAAACUGGGGCUAAUACCGGAUAGGAGCUCCUGCUGCAUGGUGGGGGUUGGAAAGUUUCGGCGGUUGGGGAUGGACUCGCGGCUUAUCAGCUUGUUGGUGGGGUAGUGGCUUACCAAGGCUUUGACGGGUAGCCGGCCUGAGAGGGUGACCGGCCACAUUGGGACUGAGAUACGGCCCAGAAUGCUACGGGAGGCAGCGGUGGGGAAUAUUGCACAAUGGGCGGAAGCCUGAUGCAGAAACGCCGCGUGCGGGAUGACCGCCUUCGGGUUAUAAACCGAUUUCGCCUGUGACGAAGCGUGAGUGACGGUAAUGGGUAAAGAAGCACCGGCUAACUACGUG
rnacentral:rRNA from 1 species